ACCACGGCUGGGCUGCAUUCUUGAAUUUUCAAUUCAUAGUUUUGACAUGGUUUGGACAUAAGUGCGUUACGGGACUUCUGUCACCCACGCACUGGGGUUCGGACUGGGAAAGGGACAGCCGGGUGCACGUGGGUCUCUAACCUGUUCUUGUCUGGCCCAACUUUCCCUUCCCAGGGCCUCACCUUAACCCCUAUCUGCUUCCGGCACACAGAGGCAGAUGCGUUGUCUAGGAUGAAGUCAAUGUCUGGCAUUUAAAUUUAAAAACCAGCACAGAGCAGCAAGAAAGCGCUUGGCAGGACGGGGCCGGGCCUCGGAGCCCAGCUGUGCCUGAGGACGCUGGCCUGGGACCCGCGGCCCCCACACCCCGUGCUGCAGGUGGAUGGUCAGGUUGCCGUCCAACCUCAGGGUAAGUGACGAGGACAGUCUGAAGUCCUGCCCAGAGCUCUGCAUCCUAGACUAGCACGUAAUUCAACAAGCGUUUAAGCAUCUAGAGCGGAAGAUCAGGGCGAAGGCCUCUGCUUCCUGCCCUUCAGGGGCCACAUCUGAUGGGAAAGACCAACUAAGAACUAGGAAGACAGCCAGGCCGUUUCCCGGGGUGGGGCUGGGAUGGGGCCUCCUCCUGCUUCCCUUGCUGUUGGGGGUAUUUAGCUCACACCCUUGGGUUUUCUGGCCGACAGAAGGGUUCUGGGGUCACUGGACAGCCUGGUGUGGGGGAUCUGGCCCAGGAAGUGCCUCCAAUGCACCCCGCAGCCGUGCGGAGGCGUGGUACCCUCCUCAUGCCCAGUGAGAGGAACCCCAGGGUCAGAGCGGCAGGGCCCUGGCAGGGCUACAGCAGGCCUGGAUCUGCUGGACGCUCCCAGUUUGCUUCCGUUUUGUUCUUUUCAACAAAGGCAGCUCAUUAAUGUAAAGUGUUUUUAUAAAUAAUGCAUCUUCCACCGGCCCCAAGUCCUGAGCUGGAGUUUGGGAUGUGGGCAGGCAUCAAACGCUUUCACUUGCAGACCACACAGGGACAGGCUUGAUGUCUGAAGCUUCGGGCCACUGCUCACCUAAAACGGCUCAUUAGAGUGAGACUUACUCACCAGGAGCACAGGCCAUGCUGCUCAGAAGGAAGCUGAUGGGUGCUGUCUGUGAGCCUGUGCUGCCCAGCCCACCCGGCGCUCCCGCCUGGCCCCCGGGUGCUGUCUGUGAGCCUGGGCCUUUGCCCAUUUGGUUGGUUGCGGGGGUGACCAGGGCUGACUUAGUUGGUACAAACCUCCCAAAAGGGUAGGCUACUUCUCCACCGUCUAGUGGGGCUGUUGGCCUUUGAUGAACAAGGUGAGGAUUGCUGCUCUGGGCACAGGUCUCGAGGUGCCACCUGGCAGUGUGGAGUGGUCAGUGGCCUGGAAACGGCUCCUCUUACCUGCGGGACGAGCGGGUGUGCCCAGGAGGGGCCAGCUGGCUGCACAGACCCAGAGCGAGUGCAGCAGCCCCCUGGCCGGGCCACCUCAUCGAAGCAGGUGACGUUUGUUCUGAAACUGAUUCUAACACAGGCAGGUGAUAAGUCAAGUAGAUGCAUUGGUUAGCCCUCCUUCUAUCAGGAACUGCAGUGACUAAGAGGAAGUAGGCAGAAAUCAAUGCAAAGCCAAAUAUUUGAAGGAAGCUGCUAAGUCAGGGCUUUGAGGGCCUCAGGCUACAGAGGGAGAGACGGGCAGGGCUGGUGCCCAGGUGGCGGGUGAGGCCACUUACCCAGGAUUCAGGUGGAAAGUGGGAUCUCAUCCUACACUGCCACAUCGCCAAGGGGAAAGAGUUACCAGAACUCGGCUUUUGGACGAAUACGGCAAUUUGACACAACAGCAAUUUGGUAGGGUUACAAAAGGGCUGUGUAAUGGAAAUCUAAUAGGAGAGGCCUGGGGGAGACAUUUCGCAGCCACGUUAGACAUGAAUUAUGGAUAAGGAAACAGAGUAAGCUUACAGCAGCUUCCAAGUUUGGCCGAGCACCCUCUCAGGGAACGAGUUAUUGCUGGACUUUAACAAAACAAUUCCAUUAUCUUAUGGUCCAAGGGACUGGAAAGUUCUCUCUGUGCUUCGCUAAUGGGAGUCGGGUCCCGUAGGGCCCGACCCUGUCACUGAGAGCUGAACCUGUCCCUCCUGGCUGCACGGCAAGGAGGCUGCGCUGUGCUGUGAAUGCACGGUGGUUUACGCAGGCUGCUGCAGAGUUAAAAAUACAAGUCGCGUUGGCAGGGGUUCUGCAAACACCUGCUUUGCAAGCUGUCGUCCCACAGUGACCUUGGGGAGGCCUUGGGGAACGGAGUGGGAGGGGCCAGAGUUUUAAGCACACUUCCCAGGGCAUUAGGGUCGCCUUUGUCUCUAGGAAUUGUGAGCACGCCAGCAGGGGUCUGUGAUGGGUGCGUGAGCGUGGCCCCAAGGGAAAACUGAUGGCAGCACCCAUGGCUGCCGGGCCCUCUGACCCGCUGGUGACCUCGUGGGCACAGACUAGGUCUGGUCUGCACCCACGUAGUUCAGGGGCAGCAGUAAGGUCUUGGGAUGUGCUGAGCAGCAGUUUGCAGCCACCCCCACCUUAGAGCAGUGAAGGCAGCAUCUGUCCCAGCAGUGGGAGGAAGAGGAGCUGCAGCAGGACAGCUCAGUUCCGGGUGGGGCACCGUUUCCCUCCCUCCCCAGGGAAAGAGAAGCCCCGGUGCCGGGCCAUCGGAAGCCUGCUGCUGGAAACCCUCGCUUGACACCGGAGGCUGAAAGCGAGCCGGCGCCACAUGGCACCCGCGGCAGCCCGGCCAGAGGGAGUCUGCCACCGCACAGCAGAGGCACCCGUCCAAGUCGCCGCAGGCCCCUGCACCGCCGCCAGAAAGGCCCCAACCCCCGCGUCGGGAGACGUUUCCUCCGAACAGCUGAGACCCAGUGAACCAGGGGUCUUCCAACCAUGAACUACUGUCCGGGCACCAGCAGCACCCUCUAGUGGCAGAGAUGCGCCUGGUGCACAAUUUCACU